UAGACCCGAAACCCGGUGAUCUAUCCAUGGGCAGGUUGAAGGUUGGGUAACACUAACUGGAGGACCGAACCGACUAAUGUUGAAAAAUUAGCGGAUGACUUGUGGAUGGGGGUGAAAGGCCAAUCAAACCGGGAGAUAGCUGGUUCUCCCCGAAAGCUAUUUAGGUAGCGCCUCGUGAACUCAUCUUCGGGGGUAGAGCACUGUUUCGACUAGGGGGUCAUCCCGACUUACCAACUCGAUGCAAACUGCGAAUACCGAAGAAUGUUAUCACGGGAGACACACGGCGGGUGCUAACGUCCGUCGUGAAGAGGGAAACAACCCAGACCGCCAGCUAAGGUCCCAAAGUCAUGGUUAAGUGGGAAACGAAGUGGGAAGGCUCAGACAGCCAGGAUGUUGGCUUAGAAGCAGCCAUCAUUUAAAGAAAGCGUAAUAGCUCACUGGUCGAGUCGGCCCGCGCGGAAGAUGUAACGGGGCUAAACCAUGCACCGAAGCUGCGGCAGCGAACGUAUCACUUAAAUUUGUUUGAGUGAAUAACGAUUGACGGAACGAAGUGACGUCAAUGCGUUAAUGAAAGUCGAGGCGAAAGCACGACAAAGCGAAUUUAAGGAUACGUUCGUUGGGUAGGGGAGCGUUCUGUAAGCCUGCGAAGGUGUACUGUGAGGUAUGCUGGAGGUAUCAGAAGUGCGAAUGCUGACAUAAGUAACGAUAAUGCGGGUGAAAAACCCGCACGCCGGAAGACCAAGGGUUCCUGUCCAACGUUAAUCGGGGCAGGGUGAGUCGACCCCUAAGGCGAGGCUGAAAAGCGUAGUCGAUGGGAAACGGGUUAAUAUUCCCGUACUGGUGGUAACUGCGAUGGGGGAACGGAGAAGGCUAGGUUGUCCGGGCGACGGUCGUCCCGGUUCAAGCAGGUAGGCAGAGUGAUUAGGCAAAUCCGGUCACUUAAUGCUGAGAUGUGAUGACGAACCACCAAGGUGGUGAAGCAAUUGAUGCCCCGCUUCCAGGAAAAGCCUCUAAGCUUCAGGUUACCAACAAUCGUACCCCAAACCGACACAGGUGGUCAGGUAGAGAAUACUCAGGCGCUUGAGAGAACUCGGGUGAAGGAACUAGGCAAAAUGGUGCCGUAACUUCGGGAGAAGGCACG
rnacentral:rRNA from 1 species